rnacentral:rRNA from 1 species
GACGAACGCUGGCGGCGUGCCUAAUACAUGCAAGUAGGACGCACAGUUUAUACCGUGUCUUGCUACACCAUAGACUGUGAGUUGAGAACGGGUUAGUAACGCGUAGGUAACUUGCAUGGUAGCGGGGGAUAACUAUUGGCAACGAUAGCUAAUAACGCAUAAUAUUGAUUAUUGCAUGAUAAAUGAUUGAAAGAUGCUAUUGCAUCCCUACCAGAUGGACCUGCGUUGUAUUAGCUAGUAGGUGAGGUAACGGCUCACCUAGGCGACGAUACAUAGCCGACCUGAGAGGGGAAUCGGCCACGCUGGGACUGAGACACGGCCCAGACUCCUACGGGAGGCAGCAGUAGGGAAUCUUCGGCAAUGGACGAAAGUCUGACCGAGCAACGCCGCGUGAGUGAAGAAGGUUUUCGGAUCGUAAAGCUCUGUUGUAAGAGAAGAUCGGGUGUGAGAGUGGAAAGUGCACACUGUGACGGUAUCUUACCAGAAAGGGACGGCUAACUACGUG